GUAUAUAGAUGUAUAUGUGUGUGUAUAUAUAUGUAUAUGUGUGUAUAUAGAUGUUUGUGUAUAUAUCUGUAUGUUUAUGUAUGUAUACAUGUAUGUUGUUGUUGUUGUUGUUGUUGUUGUUUUUAGCUAAAUAAAAGGAAGACCAAACGUGCCUGCAGCAGCCUCCUCAAACCAGUCUCUUUUGUGGAGAGGGAUGAGUUUGGGCAUCUUGUGCCUAAACGGAGAAGGCCAAAAUGUACAAAGGCAAACAUUUCUGAUGGUACAGUGGUCAACAAUCCAGCAGCUACAUCGUCAUUAUCUUUGGAGUCUAGGCAAGGAGACAUUAAUCAUGAUGAAAUUCCAUCACUUUCUUUUCGCACUGUUUGUCCGGCAGUUGAAGACAUAGAAACUCUUCAUCAAGAGGUAGAGGAUCUGUUAGCUGAUACUGAAGACAUUCAGUGCUCAAAUCCGACUUCCUCAAACGCAUGGUCAGUUCGCAUGGCCCAGACUAAAAAGAAGUGGGCAGCUUUGAGGCCAGAGAUGGUGGAGUGUUUAUUAACAGCUGAGUAUACGGAGAUCAGGCAGUGCCAGCACUGCCGACUGAAGCAGUCUGUUAUCCGCUGUAAAGACUGCAUUCCUAAACAGCUGUACUGUGUAGAAUGUGAUAUUUUGGCCCAUGAAAGGAAACU
ensembl:lncRNA